UGGUGUUCAGACCUGUGCUAAUCUGACUGUCAACCCCCUCCCUCACUCCCAGAGUCCCUUAGAAUGAUCUAGAACUGGACAUUAAUUAUUCUACCUCCAAGGCUGUGUUAUGCACUAGACAGAACAAACAAAAUCACCUUUCCUCCCCUAUAAUUGAGGCUGCACCCACGCUGUGUAUUAUCAUCUCUAUCUUUGUUCCCUCCUUUGAUCCUUAGCUUUCUAUGGUUGGAGAUCCAUUACCUGAACACUACCUAGAAAACCAACACUAGCUAUAUUAACCUCUUUUUGAAUUUCAGCAAAUACUCAUGAAGCACCUACCCUGUGCUAGGUAGUGAGUGAGGUAUGUGAGAUGUAAGAAUAAAUGCAUAAUUCCUACCCUCAAAAAAAUUCAUAGGAUAAUGGAAAAUACCAAGCAAUCACUCUAGGACAGAUAAAAUGACAGGAAUGAGCACAGGCUGUUACAGGUUUGAC